rnacentral:misc_RNA from 1 species
UCAUAAAGGCUUAUUUAAAAGUUAGAAUUCUCUGGUUGGUUGCUUUUGUGUGUUUUUGUUGGGGACCUUUCUGAUGUCCCUAUUGUCUGCUAAUUUGCCUGUUUCUUCCAAAGUUCAUGUGAUUGGAAUUGAAGCCUAUGCCUUGAACAUUCACACCAUCAGGAAUAUGUGUGUAUUAGACGGUAUAUUGAUUUGAAUACAUAAUUAAGUUGAUUAACUUUUGCUAGGGCACAGGAGGAACGUCUAGCAUAAUCUAGGGCUUGGGUUUUGUCAUGCCUUCUGAAUUGGAAG